rnacentral:rRNA from 1 species
UACGUAGGGUGCAAGCGUUUGUCCGGAAUUAUUGGGCGUAAAGAGCUCGUAGGCGGUCUGUCGCGUCUGCUGUGAAAACUCGGGGCUUAACCCCGGGCCUGCAGUGGGUACGGGCAGACUAGAGUGCGGUAGGGGAGACUGGAAUUCCUGGUGUAGCGGUGAAAUGCGCAGAUAUCAGGAGGAACACCGAUGGCGAAGGCAGGUCUCUGGGCCACUACUGACGCUGAGAAGCGAAAGCAUGGGGAGCGAACAGGAUUAG